AAUAGAUACCCCGGUAGUCCAUGCCGUAAACGUUGGGCACUAGGUGUGGGUCUCAACCAACGAGAUCCGCGCCGUCGCUAACGCAUUAAGUGCCCCGCCUGGGGAGUACGGUCGCAAGACUAAAACUCAAAGGAAUUGACGGGGGUCCCGCACAAGCAGCGGAGCGUGUUGCUUAAUUCGAUGCAACGCGAAGAACCUUACCUGGGUUUGACAUGUAGGGAAAAGCUCUAGAGAUAGGGUGUCCUUCGGGGCCUUACGACAGGUGGUGCAUGGCUGUCGUCAGCUCGUGUCGUGAGAUGUUGGGUUAAGUCCCGCAACGAGCGCAACCCUUGUCCUAUGUUGCCAGCGGGUAAUGCCGGGGACUCGUAGGAGACUGCCGGGGUCAACUCGGAGGGAGGUGGGGACGACGUCAAGGUCAUCAUGCCCCUUAUGCCCAGGGCUGCAAACAUGCUACAAUGGCCGGUACAAAGGGCUGCGAAACCGCGAGGUCGAGCGAAUCCCAGAAAGCCGGUCUCAGUUCGGAUUGGAGUCUGCAACUCGACUCC
rnacentral:rRNA from 1 species